GAAGUGGUCCAGGUGAUUGCGCUGCGCCCCUGUCAAGAGGCCAGUGAGGAAAGUCCGGGCUCCACAGGGCAGGAUGCUGGUUAACGGCCAGCGGGGGUGACCCCGGGAAAGUGCCACAGAAAAGAACCGCCUUCAUCACGCAGCCCACAACGCAGCCGAAGGUAAGGGUGCAACGGUGGUGUAAGAGACCACCAGCAAUUGAGCGAUCAAUUGGCUAGGCAAACCCCGUCCGGAGCAAGGCAAACAGAGGCCAUGGCGGCCCGUCUCGUCCUCAGGUAUGCCGCAGGAGGUGUCCGGCAACGGGCAUCCCAGAUAGAUAAUCACCCCGUCUGCGACCGGCUUGCCGGCCACAGACGGACAGAACCCGGCUUAUCGGACCACUUUACAU
rnacentral:RNase_P_RNA from 1 species